UUGAGGAAUUUUCCGCAAUGGGCGAAAGCCUGACGGCGCAAUGCCGCGUGAAGGAUGAAGGCCUAUGGGUUGUAAACUUCUUUUCUCAGAAAAGAAUUAUGACGGUAUCUGAGGAAUAAGCAUCGGCUAACUCUGUGCCAGCAGCCGCGGUAAGACAGAGGAUGCAAGCGUUAUCCGGAAGGAUUGGGCGUAAAGCGUCUGUAGGUUGUUUAAAAAGUAUUCUGUCAAAGAUUAGGGCUUAACCCUAGAUAGGCAGAAUAAACUUUUAAGCUAGAGUGUGGUAGAGGCAGAGGGAAUUCCCGGUGGAGCGGUGAAAUGCGUAGAUAUCGGGAGGAACACCAAAGGCGAAGGCACUCUGCUGGGCCAAUACUAACACUGAGAGACGAAAGCGAGGGGAGCAAAUGGGAUUAGAAACCCCAGUAGUCC
rnacentral:rRNA from 1 species